GCUCGCAUACCUGCUCGUCAUAUUUCAACCGAGAUUUUCCAAAAUCGAAGACCUAACAGGGUCAUUAUAUUUCACGCCUUCACUCACUGGUUUCCCACGCAGUGAGCAACCAUUGUAAAUCUCCAAGAAAUCCGAUCAUCUUCCUUCCCAAAACUGAAACCCAAAAUCAGUGAGAGCAGCCGCUGUAAAUCUCCCUCAAAAUCGAUCAUCUUCCUUUCCGAAAGGUGAAACCCGAACUCAGAGUAAAGCCUUUCCGCCUUCACUCCCUGUUUCCCACGAAGUGAGAGCACCGCUGUAAAUCUCCCUCAAAAUCGAUCAUCUUCCUUUCCAAAAGGUGAAACCCGAACUCAGUGAGAGCAACCAUUGUCAAGAACCCCUGAAGAAACUCGAUCAUCUUUCUUCCCAAAAGCUGAAACC